rnacentral:rRNA from 1 species
AUGGGGGCGACCAUUGAUCGUUCGUUAGAGGGUACGCGGGAUCCUAACCUUUACAAGAUUUGUGGUCAGGUCCAUCACCAUAUUGGUUCUCUUUUUCCAUCGAAAGAUGAGACGCCUAAAUUCACUGAGAUGUAUAUUUAUGACACUGCUAAUGAAGUGGACCAUAGGAUGAAUGCGGUCAAUGUAGAUGGUACUUCCUCAGGACAGUUAGAUCAUUCUAUUGUGGAGGGUUUAAAGGAUAUGCUUGACCAGAACAAUUCUUUGGAGAAGUUUAGGAUGGCUAAAGAGAGGUUAGAGGAGCAUCCAGCUGAGCGUAUAGCUAUUAGGAUCAUAGCGCGUGGUGAAGGUGAUGGUCCACAGUAUAACCUGCCAAUGGCUAAUGAGCUGGCAGCCCUGGUUGUUGGUGAUUUUACUUCAAAUGCGGCUUCUCGAGAUAUCAUGAUACAUGAUAGGGUUGAAGGGGUAUAGCAAAUUAAUUAUUUCCAUCCAGCCUACAUGCCAUUGCAGUAUCCACUGUUGUUCCCAUAUGGUGAGAGAGGUUUUCAAAUUGAUGUUCCAUAUAAAGGGUUGCUGGCCGGGGAAAAGACCAGGGGUAAAGUUACUAUGUAGGACUAUUACUAUUAUGCGUGUCAUUAUCGGCCGGAACAGCCAAAUCCUUACUUCUGUUAUGGGUAUUUGUCUUCACAAGUUGUUGUUGAUUGUCGCGCUUGCAUUGAUGAGCAGAGACUUUGGUACAUACUUAGGCACUAG